rnacentral:rRNA from 1 species
AGAGUUUGAUCCUGGCUCAGAACGAACGCUGGCGGCAGGCUUAACACAUGCAAGUCGAACGGUUGUAGCAAUACAGCAGUGGCAGACGGGUGAGUAACACGUGGGAACCUUCCUAGGGGUACGGAACAACUCAGGGAAACUUGAGCUAAUACCGUAUACGUCCGUGAGGAGAAAGUUUUAACGCCCCUAGACGGGCCCGCGUAGGAUUAGGUAGUUGGUGAGGUAACGGCUCACCAAGCCUACGAUCCUUAGCUGAUCUGAGAGGAUGAUCAGCCACACUGGGACUGAGACACGGCCCAGACUCCUACGGGAGGCAGCAGUGGGGAAUCUUGGACAAUGGGCGCAAGCCUGAUCCAGCCAUGCCGCGUGAGUGAAGAAGGCCUUCGGGUUGUAAAGCUCUUUUACCAGGGACGAUAAUGACGGUACCUGGAGAAUAGCC